CGAGCAAAACGGUUAUUUCUCCUCUCGGUGGCACACGUGAAACCGUAUCUGGCUCCAUCAGUUUGUUCAGGGGGCUGGAGCACGUGGUGAACUGUGGCUGGGAGAGAAGGGUUUGCUUAGCAGAAGGGACGGAUCUUGCUUUGACCAUCUGGAGGCUGAUUUACUAGAAAGGAAAAACAUACACCAACAAGCUAUGACAGAAGAUUAUAGCAAAAGUUGCAAACCACUAAUGAAAAAAAGUCAGUUAUACCAUAUAGGUGACUGCAGUUGCUCAUCUUCAAGAAGACUUCAAGAAUUUGGCACAGGUGACCAAACAAGAGAUUUUUAAUGAACUGGAUAUAUGUUCUUUAGCGAUUUUUUUAAAAGCAAGCCCGCAAUUUG